rnacentral:rRNA from 1 species
UGGGGAAUAUUGGACAAUGGGCGAAAGCCUGAUCCAGCCAUGCCGCGUGUGUGAAGAAGGUCUUCGGAUUGUAAAGCACUUUAAGUUGGGAGGAAGGGCAGUAACCUAAUACGUUGCUGUCUUGACGUUACCGACAGAAUAAGCACCGGCUAACUCUGUGCCAGCAGCCGCGGUAAUACAGAGGGUGCAAGCGUUAAUCGGAAUUACUGGGCGUAAAGCGCGCGUAGGUGGUUUGUUAAGUUGGAUGUGAAAUCCCCGGGCUCAACCUGGGAACUGCAUUCAAAACUGACAAGCUAGAGUAUGGUAGAGGGUGGUGGAAUUUCCUGUGUAGCGGUGAAAUGCGUAGAUAUAGGAAGGAACACCAGUGGCGAAGGCGACCACCUGGACUGAUACUGACACUGAGGUGCGAAAGCGUGGGGAGCAAACAGGAUUAGAUACCCAAGUAGUCCCUGAGCGGGCUGGCAAGGCGCAU